GAGAAACUGGUUUCGAGACAUCCGUGCGUUCUCUUCAGUCUCUAAUAUCAGACUUCUGACAGUUCGUUCCGUUUACAGUGGUUUUUUCACUAAUUGUUACACGCGAUAUUGUGUUCUUUUAUAACUAUUAGUAAUCUCCCAGUGGCAGAGCGGUAUGUCUACGGGCUUAUCAACGCUAAGAAACCGGAUUUCGAUACCCGUGAUAAUAGAAUUAAUCCGAAAGAUGAGGCUGUUUUCCACUGUUCUUUCUGUCGUCAUUCUGAUGCUGCUACUUCUGUCGACUUCUUACAAGAAUCAAGGGGUACAUGGACAGACCAAAUGCGCAACUGCAGGACAGGCUUGCAAGAACACUGAAGAACCCACGUGUUGCGCAUACCUAAAGUGUAGUGCUGGAUAUUGCCGUUUUAACUAGUCCAAAUGUUGACUAUGCUGCAGAGAAUUAAAUAAUUGACAUUAAGUGUUCAGUACCAUGAUGAGCAUUUAGUAUAAUUGUAUGAAGUACAAAGCCAUGUGUGGUGUAUGAAUAUCAUGAUAUGAGAGUAUCAUGUAAUUUUUGUCGUGAGCCUUGUCGUACGGUAUAAUAGUCUUGUUUUACGAAAGCCGAGAGUAUCUGUAUCGUUAUAGUAAUUUUUAUGUGUGUAAAGUGUUUGUUUAUGUUACACGAAAAUGUUCCAGUAUUCAAUCAAUUUAUUUGUAGCUAUAUUUACAAUAAAAGGACUAAACACUUUCAGAAUAUUUGAAA